CAGCAGUCGCCGCGGGAAUACGGAGGGUGCAAGCGUUAAUCGGAAUUACUGGGCGUAAAGCGCACGCAGGCGGUUUGUUAAGUCAGAUGUGAAAUCCCCGAGCUUAACUUGGGAACUGCAUUUGAAACUGGCAAGCUAGAGUCUUGUAGAGGGGGGUAGAAUUCCAGGUGUAGCGGUGAAAUGCGUAGAGAUCUGGAGGAAUACCGGUGGCGAAGGCGGCCCCCUGGACAAAGACUGACGCUCAGGUGCGAAAGCGUGGGGAGCAAACAGGUUUAGAUACCCCGGUAGUCCCUGUCUCUUAUAC
rnacentral:rRNA from 1 species